rnacentral:rRNA from 1 species
AACGCGAAGAACCAUACGGGGGGGGUCUUGUACACACCGUGCAGGCGGGCGAGGGCACGUGGGGAACGCGAAGAACCUUACCUGGUCUUGACAUCCUGGGAACCCUGAAGAGAUUCAGGGGUGCCGCAAGGAGCCCAGAGACAGGUGCUGCAUGGCUGUCGUCAGCUCGUGUCGUGAGAUGUUGGGUUAAGUCCCGCAACGAGCGCAACCCUUGUCCUUAGUUGCCAUCAUUUAGUUGGGCACUCUAAGGAGACCGCCGGUGACAAACCGGAGGAAGGUGGGGAUGACGUCAAGUCCUCAUGGCCCUUAUGGGUAGGGCUUCACACGUCAUACAAUGGCCGGUACAGAGGGUUGCCAAAGCGCGAGCUGGAGCCAAUCCCUUGAAAGCCGGUCGUAGUCCGGAUUGCAGUCUGCAACUCGACUGCAUGAAGUCGGAAUCGCUAGUAAUCGCGGAUCAGCAUGCCGCGAUGAAUACGUUCCCGGGCCUUGUACACA